GUAGCUAUGCCUGGUGAUGGCUAGCCCAACCCAGGCUAUCCCUCACCAGCCCAACCCUGGCUAUCCCUCACCAGCCCAACCCAGGCUAUCCCUCACCAGCCCAACCCAGGCUAUCCCUCACCAGCCCAACCCAGGCUAGCCCUCACCAGCUCAACCCAGGCUAGCCCUCACCAGCCCAACACAGGCUAGCCCUCACCAGCUCAACCCAGGCUAGCCCUCACCAGCUCAACCCAGGCUAGCCCUCACCAGCCCAACACAGGCUAGCCCUCACCAGCCCAACCCAGGCUAUCCCUCACCAGCCCAAC
ensembl:lncRNA